ACGUAGGGUGCAAGCGUUAAUCGGAAUUACUGGGCGUAAAGCGUGCGCAGGCGGUUUUGUAAGUCUGAUGUGAAAUCCCCGGGCUCAACCUGGGAAUUGCAUUGGAGACUGCAAGGCUAGAAUCUGGCAGAGGGGGGUAGAAUUCCACGUGUAGCAGUGAAAUGCGUAGAUAUGUGGAGGAACACCGAUGGCGAAGGCAGCCCCCUGGGUCAAGAUUGACGCUCAUGCACGAAAGCGUGGGGAGCAAACAG
rnacentral:rRNA from 1 species